CUGCUCAGAGCCUCUCUCCUGUCCAGAGCCACCGAGUGGGACAGGAUGGUGGGAGGCAGACCCACACACCUCAAUUCUGAGCAUCUGAGCACUCACACCAGUUGGGCCUGAGUCCCGGAGCCAGUGCGUGGGUGCCCGCCUGUGCUCCUGUUUCUGGAAGCUUCAUAUACCAGGCACAGAGGUGCGAAGGAGGGACGCCGGACUCGCCCAGGGAGAGGAGCCGGCCUGGCAGCCUGGGAGGGAGUCUUCACUCUCAGACCUGGGUGUCUUGGCAUCACCCAGCAAUCAGACGAGAUGGAUGUCCUCCCAGGACUGUUUUUUUGUUUUGUUUUUUUAAAGUGGGCAAAACCUUUACCCUUUUCCACUCUGUUUCCUCGUCCUGUGUAGGGGAUAACAAUAGAGCCUUCCUCCAAGGGCUGUGGUGACUAGAAUAGAGCCUGGCGCACACAGUCUCAGCCAAUGGUUGCUGCUUCUCAGUUGUUAGGAUCAUUCCUAUAAAUGCGUGCGUUCAAGUACAGAACCUGCCGGAGCUCUGGCGGCGCCCGAAGAAUGGCUGGAAGCGCAGGGAGCAAGUCCUUCAAGUGCAGUCAAUGAAUAAAGGACAUUCAGACAUCAAAGGUCCAGCUGGUUUCUGGGGUGCAGCAAAUGCUACCCAUCUUAGUUGUGGAAUGAACGCGUGAGCGAGGGCAUGGAAGGUGGGUGUUGUCCGAUCAACUCAGGAACCGGCAGGAUUGACCUGUGGGCCUCGAUUGCUUCUCUAUGAAGUGGCCUGACAGUGUCUACCUCUCAGGGAUAUUCUGCAGGUUGAACAGCCCCUGUGCAUAAAUGUGCAUUUGUCACGGGGAAGGAGACGGCACCAUCUUCCCAAGAGGCUCUGUGGAGCAGGCAUGAUAGCCGGUCUCUUCUUUCAAGUGAUUCAGAUCCACGAACGGGAAAGUCUUUGUAGACUGAGGAGUGCUGUGCACAGAUGAGCGCUCACAGCAUGGCUUGAGUGGCACAGAGGUCUAGGGAGACCUGGAACCUGGAGCACUGCUGGGACCAGCUCCCCAGCCAGGAGGGAGGGGACCACGAAGCAGGAAGACCCCAGGAGCCUGGCAGGGAGCUCCAUCCACAAGCCAGGUACGCAGAGUAGGACUGCGUGGGGUCAAGACCUGUGCCUGACUGCCUCCAUGUGCCCUUGGGGUUGGGAUGAGGAGGACCCUGGGAAGCCUCCUGACUCAGCACCCUCCGUGGUCUCCCUGAUACUGGAAAGCGACCCUACUGUGCUGUUUACCGCUGCUUCUCCAGCACCAAACGCAGGCCUGGAACAUAGUGUGUGUUGGAUAAACCCUGUGGAAUUAAUGAAUAAAUAAACAACAUAGCAAA